rnacentral:lncRNA from 1 species
GCACCCCGGUCGUCCUCCCCUUGCCCUGGAUCUCUCUGCCGAAUAGCCAUCGACGUGCAGCUUGGCAACCUCAGCCACAUCUCUCCUCCCUCGAUCUGGGUGAUAGGAUCGUAGGCGGAGGACGUCGACGGCGCGUGCUGAUGGGCACCGCGCUCCUGCCACAGAUGCCACACCCUCUCCUUCCAUCGGCGCCACACCACAACCUCCUUCUCCAGCCAUUCUAUUAUCUGGCACCGCACCCCAAUCCACCCCCAACCUCCUCCGCCUUGCCUUCCGCCUCCUCCACCUCGAUCCAGGCUGAUUAUGGAACGAGGCAAGUGGGUUUUGUUCUUUCUUGACAUGCUUCUUCUUGGUUUGUGCUCUUGUGUAUAUGUGUAUGAUUGUGCAUUUAAAUGUAUGUCCUUGAAGUGUAAUCAACGGUGGCCGGUGCCUGGUUUCUUAGCAAAUUACGAUUAUGUCAAAAGAAUUUGGUGGUUUGGGUAUUGGAGACCUAAUAGCACACAAUAGGGCUCUAAUUUGCAAAUUAGGAACAAUGCUGCUUCAAGGGAGUGAUCUAACUUGCUAUAACUGGUUCAAGGACGCAUACGCUAGUAUUUUCAAUCCUGGUAGGCACCGGCUGGACACAACUAUGUGGCAAAAUUUGAAGUCAAUAAUACGUGUAGUCAUGAACGCUACAAGGUGCAGACUGGGAAGUGGAUAAAAUAUUUCCUUCUGGAUGGACGCUUGGUGCAUGGAGCAAAGAUUAAUGGAUAUAUUUUCAGUUUUGUUCACCUUCACCAUGGAUAAGUGCUGCUCUAUUCAAUCCCGGUUUUCAGAUAACUCAUGGCUAUUAAGCUACGACUGGUUCUAUCCACAAUGGUUGCUCAUCAAUUGGCUUAGCUGUUGGUAACCCUAAAGACCCUAAGCCCCAGUAUAGAGAUGGACACAAGAAUAGGCAGGAUUUUUGGUACUACUACCAAUGUCCGCUACUUCUAUAGUCUUUUCACAUUCUAAGGUGUGAUCCCUCCUCUGGACAAUUCAUAUGACUUCUGAUCCUUCCUCUAGAGCACCAAGUGUUUCAAUUAAUUGGAUUUCAAGGCAGACUUAGCACAAAGGAGAAUAUCACCAAAAAAUGUUGGGUUACCGACCCAUGGUGCAAAAUUUUCCCCGCCACCGAGUCCAUUGAAUAUAUUCCAUUUCAUUGUAAAGUAGUGGAACACAUCUGGAGGUGCCUAAAUCUGCAAUCCAUGGCCAAGCAAGCUUCAGACAUGCUUCAGUUUGCCAACAUCAUGCAUCAGAGUAUACAACAGUCUAUGACCGAUUAUUUUUAUAGCCUGUUCAGUUACUCUCUAGUAAUGCAGAAAUGACGGAGUGUUUAACAACAAAGUGUUGCCAUGCCACCACAUUUGAUUUCAAAAUGCAUUAGUGAGGAUCUGAAGCUCUGGGCGAACAUGGAAAUGAAGGAAUCACAGAAGACUUCUCAUCUUUCUUGGGCACAUAUCUGUUUACGCCCAUGUACUCUCUUUUGUUACGUUUUUCUCUUCAUUUCAUUUUUGUUUCUACACGCUUUUGUUUGUUGAUUCUUGUGUGCGCCCAGACCAUGGUUGGCCUUUACACCGUUUUUUAAUACAAGGUAGAGAUCUAUACCUUUCCCUUUAAAAAACUUCUAUUCUUGUGUGCUUGCUUAUUGUAGCAUCUCUGCUGAGGUGAUCCUCAUGCGAUUCAUGAGCACUAAAUGCAAGUAUCUUAAGCACUCCGUCCCUCCAGCAGCUCUGCUGAUUCAGUUGCACCGAGAAGGACAACAAGGGAAGAGGAAGGCGAUAAUAGUCUACGUCGCUUCUGGGAGUGAAGACGAUCAGUUUGAGGUGGAUAUAUAGUGUGGUGCAACUAAUUUUGUGAUGUUAUUUGACCCUGAGUUUUAGGUCUAAUUGCUUAAGAAUAGAUGAAAUACUAAAAUGAAAUGUCUGGUUUUCUAGUUUUGUAAAACUUUGAGGAUACCUGUUAGGGCCAAUUUUCCGGGACAUAUAAUCCCAACAAAUGACCCUUGUGUCAUCGCCAACCCCAGGAUUACUGUUAGCUGGUGGACACUUCCUUGAUACAGAAUUCCAAGCAAUUAUAAGAACUUGAGUACAAGACCACAAAGGUCCAUUGAAUAUAACAAGGGUAUCUAGUGGUCGAUGACGAAAGCGACUUGUGGAUCUCCGACGUUGAUGUGACUCCAUUCC